AUUGAACGCUGGCGGCAGGCCUAACACAUGCAAGUCGAGCGGAGCUGCGGACGGGUGAGUAAUGCCUAGGAAUCUGCCUGUUAGUGGGGGAUACCGUCCGGACACGGGCGCUAAUACCGCAUACUCUCAGAUGAGCCUAGGUCGGAUUAGCUAGUUGGUGGGUUAAUGGCCUACCAAGGCGCCGAUCCGUAACUGGUCUGAGAGGAUGAUCAGUCACACUGGAACGGAGACACGGUCCAGACUCCUACGGGAGGCAGAAGUGGGGAAUAUUGGACAAUGGGCGAAAGCCUGAUCCAGCCAUGCCGCGUGUGUGAAGAAGGUCUUCGGAUUGUAAAGCACUUUAAGUUGGGAGGCGUUACCUACAGAAUAAGCACCGGCUAACUUCGUGCCAGCAGCCGCGGUAAUUC
rnacentral:rRNA from 1 species